rnacentral:rRNA from 1 species
UACGUGGGGUGCAAGCGUUGUCCGGAAUUAUUGGGCGUAAAGAGCUCGUAGGUGGCCUGUCGCGUCGGCUGUGAAAACUCGGGGCUCAACUCCGAGCUUGCAGUCGAUACGGGCAGACUAGAGGUAUGCAGGGGAGAACGGAAUUCCUGGUGUAGCGGUGAAAUGCGCAGAUAUCAGGAGGAACACCGGUGGCGAAGGCGGUUCUCUGGGCAUUACCUGACGCUGAGGAGCGAAAGUGUGGGGAGCGAACAGG